rnacentral:tRNA from 1 species
GCGGAUGUAGCAAGUGGAUCAGGCAGUGGA